ACUUACAUCUACUCAACAGAGCGGGGAGGAGAAGGAGAUAAACCUAUAUCAACACUGUAUUUCUAUUCCUCUCUCUCCUUGUGAAAACAAAAGAGGAACAAGGCAAAGCCUCAUCCAAUAUUCAUUGGGAAUCAUCUCGACAUGAUCCCGGGAAAACAGGUCCUUUUCAAGUCCAUGGUUCAGAUGCAGCCUUUCCUGUGACUGGGAGUGGGGACAACAGGCUGCUCACAGGGCUCCGUGGCUGGCACAGGAACUUCGGGGAAUAAUUGGGAUGCAAAUGACCAGUGUCAAGUGCUACGUGACUGUCGGUUACAAAGAAGUGGGUCAAAGUGCAGCCUGAUUAACGCCUAUCACCAUAUGUCUGUCCAGAAUUCUUGUUCACCCUGCGAGGACGGCUUCAGCAGUGGCUUGACUGGAUUAGCAGAGAUUCUGCCCACGGUAAGGGGC
rnacentral:lncRNA from 1 species